GUGCCAGCAGCGGCGGUAAUACAGGCAGCCCGAGUGAUGGCCGAGAUUAUUGGGCCUAAAGCGUCCGUAGCAUGCUGUGUAAGUCCAUUGGGAAAUCGACGCGCUCAACGCGUCGGCGUCCGGUGGAAACUACACAGCUUGGGGCCGAGAGACUUGACGGGUACGUCCGGGGUAGGAGUGAAAUCCCGUAAUCCUGGACGGACCACCGAUGGGGAAACCACGUCAAGAGAUCGGUCCCGACGGUGAGGGACGAAAGCCAGGGUCUCGAACCGGAUUAGAUACCCCGGUAGUCC
rnacentral:rRNA from 1 species